rnacentral:siRNA from 1 species
UUUUAGUAUUUUUAGGGCCUA